UGAGGAAUUUUGCGCAAUGGGGGAAACCCUGACGCAGCAACGCCGCGUGAGUGAAGAAGGCUUUCGGGUCGUAAAGCUCUGUCAAGAGGGAAGAAAGUGGGAGAUGGUAAUACUGUUUUCUAUUGACGGUACCUCUGAAGGAAGCACCGGCUAACUCCGUGCCAGCAGCCGCGGUAAUACGGGGGGUGCAAGCGUUAUUCGGAUUUAUUGGGCGUAAAGAGCGCGUAGGCGGUUUAUCAAGUCAGAUGUGAAAGCCCUGGGCUCAACCUGGGAAGUGCAUUUGAAACGAGUAGACUUGAGUAUGGGAGAGGGGAGUGGAAUUCCUGGUGUAGAGGUGAAAUUCGUAGAUAUCAGGAGGAACACCGGUGGCGAAGGCGACUUCCUGGACCAAUACUGACGCUGAGGCGCGAAGGCGUGGGGAGCAAACA
rnacentral:rRNA from 1 species